GCCACUAGGUAGAAAAUAUCUUCCUCUGGGGUUACUGCAGAAGUCCUGCCGUCCCACCUGCAAAAAUGGAGAAAAAAGCAUAAGAUGUCAAAUGUUUGAAGGCCUUUCGAACGGAGCUUUAUCUCAGAUUCAUGCACUCUGUCUAGGAAGUCCAGGUAUGAGACCUCUGUUAGGAAAAGCGUUGAUGGAAUAUAUCUUAGUUGAGACAAAAGGCUUUCCACUUCCUGGGAGGAAAAAGAGAGAGGAGAUGAGGAUUAUAUUAUGUGAACAUCGUGUGCACAUGUUUCUAGUGACAUGACGUCAGAGAGAUAAGUGGGUCAUGACAUGUCUCACCUGGUUCCUGAUGUCAUUCUCGUCUGGGUUGAAGUUUUUGGCCAUUUCUAGGCAAUAGAGAGUCUUGCCCUCUGAGUUGAAUUGUCUGGCUUGAACUGGGUCUUGAGGAUUGAAGGAAGAUCUCCAGUUAUUAAGUAAACCUGUCUUGUUUAUGAUCACAAAUCCUUCAAUGUAGUCAAAGGUAUUCUCAGCAGAUAUUAAAUACUCCUGGUCCUCGGAAAAUUUGGAGAAGUUUGAGUAUAAAACUCUUAUCCAUUUCACCUAUUGGAUGAUGGAUUAACUGUGUUAAUGAUUAGUAAAAAUAAAAGAGAAUUACAAUUAAAUCCUUUCAUAUCAAGAGAGAGAAUAUUCAUUUACCAUCUUGGGUGCAGGUUCAAGAGCAAUUCUAGCAUGGGCUAUGAUCCCAAAUUGACCCAGUCCUCCAAGGACACUGUAAAACAGUUCAAACACACCUGUGACAACUUCUAGCUGGUAGACAUUACUGAUCUGUGGUCCGUGCUGGAAUGCUUGCCCACUGAUCCCAGCAUUGGACAGAGUUCCACCAAUAGUGAGACGGAGAUAGUCUGUCCAAGAUUUCG